rnacentral:lncRNA from 1 species
CCAAUCUCAAGGUUCAACCAUUUAUUCAAGCUGUAAUAUCUUCUCAAAUUAACACGGAAACGGCCACAUUAGGGCCAGUUCAAAUGCUGAUAUUGUACAUAUAUUGGUAAGGUUUUUGUUUAUUACACAGGUGCAUAGCAACGCUUAAUCGGACAACUGACUGCAAUCGAUACCUUUGCCAGUGAAAGCCGCCAUGAGUUUAGGGAAAAGCUUGCCAAGCAUAAUCUUGAACCCUGUAGAGCUUCCUUUUAUCAGUUCUUGCUCCUGGCUUUUGGGUUGAAAUGCAGAACCAACUGGUGCACCAUCCAUGUACGCCUUACAAGCCAACAAAAUGUGCUUCCACCUUUUACCAAAGUGCUCUUGAACGAGUGCCUCAAAAUGCUGCAGCAUAAUUGACCAAGCAGAUCAGAAACUUCCAUAUAAAAAGGGAAGUGCUUCUAUAUAGAAUGUUGGAAAACAAAAUGUCUUGGUGGUAAUUAGAACUUUAAAGUCGUCAGAGUCCCAAUUCCUUUUCUUAAACAUGGUACAUUACGUGGUUUUAUCUGAAAUCUAAACAUGAUUUAAGGAAACUUGGAAAACUUCAAAGGUAAAUCAUUUACCUUAGGUGGCUUGUUGAGUUGGUAUAACAUGGACUUGCAGGUAACAAGGAAAGCAUUUUCAUUAUAGCUAACUGAGUUCUUUUCACCAUCAGCUUUUCCAAUCUGUGCAUCAUAUCCCGCCUCAUUGAAAUAAGGCUUUUCAUUGAGCACAAGUGCUUGAAAAGAGAGGAGAACUUGUAGAAUCGUGGAACUUUUGGGGUUCCAAACUUCAUUUCCGGAGCCCGUCCAUGUAUUUAAGAGACUAAGACAGACCUUUCCUGACUCAUACAAGUUGGGAUUGACACGAAGCCCGCCAGAGUGAUAGUAAACCAUCUGCACAAUUUGAUUUUCACAAAACUUAAAUAAGCUUUAACGAGAAAGUGUAUACUUGAUUUCACAAAUCAGGAAACAGAUGGAUUUCAUAAUUGGAUGGUGUAGUUCGACAAUUGGAUGCCUAACAUUGCAUAAGAGAUAUUUAAUAAAUAUGGAGACCAUCUGCACAAUUUUAUUUUCACAAAACCUAAAUAAGCUUUAACGAGAAAGUCUGUUUGAUCUCACAAAUCAAGAAACAGAUGGAUUUCAUAAAUGGAUGGUGGAGUUUGACAAUUGGAUGCCUAACAAUGCAUAAGAGCAUGAUCUGAAUUUAGCUUCCAAAGGUAAGCAAGUGCUCAUUUCUAUCAAUCAGAACAUUGUGGAAAUAUGGAACAAUUUGUGCUCAUGUUACAGAUUAAUGCACAGGCUAUAAAGAUUUACUUACAGGUGGCUCAUGCGGAUAGUUCGAAGGUAGGUAAAUAUCAAAGAAGAAGAGUCCAUCAUGAUACGGAGUCCCAGGUGCACCAAUAAUGGCUGCUCGCAGCAAAUCCAUUCUUUCUUCAUAUACGCGUACAUAGAUAGUCUCUGUUUUAGGUUUUAAUAAAGCAAGUGUGAGGAAGAAUAGUCAAGAAAUGCAGUGUCAAAACAAUCUAUUCGAUGAUAAGAGGUUUGUUGCUGAUAGAAUCAGAUAUUGUGCAUAAAAAAGAAAAGAAAAAGGAAAAGAUAUUGUGCAGUCAAGCUGUGGUUAACUUAGUGUCAAUCUCAACCCCUCUCCCCAAAGCUUUCCUAUUCAAGCAAUAGUUUGUGAUCAUUUGUUCGCUUUUUCAAACUUAUGUUUAUCGUCACUCGGAACUUUUCAUUUUCCUGAGGGAAAGUCAUAUUAAACCUAGUGAAUUACAUAAACUUAGUGAAUUAAGGAAAAGAGAACUUCUUGAGAAAAUGAUACGAGACAGAGGCGCUAUUACAAAGAGCAAAGACAAAAUAAUUGGCACAUUAUAUCAGAAACAUUAAACCUACAGUGGCUCCCUUACUUUCUAAACUUUUAAAUUCAUUUAUCAUAUUAGCGCAUGUAAGAAUCUAAUUAUCUUGGCUGUUUGUCUUGCAAAAGAUCUGCGGAGUAACCCACAAAAUGAAUUUCGAAUAGAAGAUCUAUCAUUUUGCUCCAAAUGUAAAGAUGAAAAAUAGAACUUGUGGACUGCCAUAAGGGCAUUACCAUUUGACUUCGGUACAUGAACUACAACAACAACAACAACAACAACAACAACUACCCAGUAUAGUCCCACAAAGUGGGGUCUAGGGAGGGUAAUAUGUAGACGGGCCUUACCCAUACCCGAAAGGGCAGAGAGGCUGUCUCCAAUCGACCCUCGGCUCAGCGAAGGGAAGGAAAACAAAAACAAAAACAAAAGAGCAUUAGUAACUCCAGCAGAAAUAGCGUAAAUAAUNNNNNNNNNNNNNNNNNNNNNNNNNNNNNNNNNNNNNNNNNNNNNNNNNNNNNNNNNNNNNNNNNNNNNNNNNNNNNNNNNNNNNNNNNNNNNNNNNNNNNNNNNNNNNNNNNNNNNNNNNNNNNNNNNNNNNNNNNNNNNNNNNNNNNNNNNNNNNNNNNNNNNNNNNNNNNNNNNNNNNNNNNNNNNNNNNNNNNNNNNNNNNNNNNNNNNNNNNNNNNNNNNNNNNNNNNNNNNNNNNNNNNNNNNNNNNNNNNNNNNNNNNNNNNNNNNNNNNNNNNNNNNNNNNNNNNNNNNNNNNNNNNNNNNNUUCUCUCGAAUAACUUCAUUCUUAAUCUUAUCUAACCUGGUGAGCCCGCACAUCCACCUGAGCAUCCUCAUCUCCGGAACCUUCAUUCUCUAGACAUGAGAGUUCUUCACUGGCCAGCACUCCGCUCCAUACAACAUGGCAGGUCUAAUCACAGCUCUAUAACUGAUAUUUAUCAUAUAUUCCAUAAGCUAAGGAAGGCAAUAUAUUUCAGGAAUUAAAAUUCUAGUUGCAGAGUAUGCAAAUUCUCAUUGAAAGUCUGUCUUAUAUCUUUUUACAUUUUCCCUCGUCUUUGUUCAUUUCAGUAGCUUCAGCAUACCCAAUGUUAUAUCUUUCCAACCCCCCUCCCCCCCCACCCCUCCAAUUCAACGAUCUUUCGCUCAACAAGCAUGACUCAUACUUGGCCAAAAUACAUAGAUAGACACAGUAAACAAUAGCAGAAUGUAAAUAUCACAUCAUUACACACAAACAGAAAAACAGGUUGAAAUUCUCACCAGGAAGAUCAUGUUCCAAAAUGCUCCAUUCUUGUUGGACCUUCUUCAGCCAACCUCUUCUAACCUGUGAAGUAAUAGAAAGGUUAAAAAAGGGGGAAGAGUAUAGUAAAAAUAACAAUAAGCCGACAUGUUCACUUGGGAAAAACUAAAAGAAAUUUUGACCUGGGAUAACUGCUCCUUUCCAGCACCAUCUGCAAAAUGGUGAUCUGAGAAACCAGUUACCAUAUCAAACUGUCUAAAGUCUUCAGGGAGCUUGCUGGAAGAUGGCAAAGCAUAAUGUUUUUGAUCCUCAGUUGUUUCCUGUUCUUGCUCUAGUUCCAUUUCAAGGGAAGCCUUCACGUAUCCUACCUCAAGUGUGGGAAUUCCUGCAUUCAAAUUGCUAAGUUCUAUGACUUCCUCCUCAUUAGGAAUCCUUGAUUCCUGUCCUUCUUCUGAUAUAGCUUGGUAUGUACCAAACAGUGAUGUGCUCAAGGAGCCGAAAAGACUCGACGUGAUACUCGAGAAAAAACCAAUAGCAGCUUGAGAAAGCAAACAGGAACUAGAAUUCCACAAACUCCUGUUGCAACUUUCACUAUCGGCACAAAACUUCAGCAAGUCCUGAAUAUCAAAAUCUAACUCUGUCAAACUGUCACACGAGAACGGAUACCUAAUAUCUAAUUAAAUCCCUGCUAUAUUGAGCUUCUUAUAACGUGGAUGGCAAAUGAUCUUCUAACAACUUUUUAUGGUUAUUAGCUUAUCUCCUAUUGAACCAUCCGGUUUUCCUUCCAGUUAACUAUUAAGUCACUGCCAAAUUUUCCUUUUUCAGACUUACUUCUUGCAAUAACACCAAAGGAACAAAACAUGGAGAGGGAACUAGACUUACCUUUUCCUCAGGUUUUGGAAGUUGAUUUUCCUCUGAACUCAUCUCCGCACCUGAUGGCUCAGCAUUUUCACCAGAGGGCACAUUAAUGGCAGCAGCAGCUUCACAUUUAUCCAUCCGAUAGAUCUCAAAGGGUGCCACCUGAUGAGUAUCAAUGAAGAAAGAUAAGAUUUGAGCCAGCUCAAGGCAUAAGACCAAGAUUAGGAGUAUAUUUCUCGAAACAUUUCAGCUCUUAGUACAUUAUUUAUUACUUUCAACAGUUAUUUUAUGAACAAAUAUUCCUAAAGAAAAUGUUUCUGUCACAAACUUCAACUGAUUUUCCCUAAUCAACUUUCCACCAAAAAAGAUGAAAUUUAAUAAAACAAUGUAAGAAGAACAGUAAUGAUAUGAUUCUUGGAAAUCAGCAAAACAUGAGUGCUAACGUCAACAAACAGCAAGUAUCCUUUUGAAUUUCCAAUAGGUUAUGUCACACUCACGUUCAGCUAUGAAAAAUGAGGAGAGAAAAAAGACAGGGUCCAACCCCUCAAAAAAUAAAAGAAUAGAAAAAAGAGUACCCUUACCGUGCUUGUAAUACCAGUAGCCCAUUUCACUUCAAUAUUGCCAUCUUCGAAUCCGACAAUAAUACCAAUGCAAGGUAAGUGAUCAUAUCCAGUGAAAUCUGAAUUAUCCCUUCUUUUAUCAAUAUUCUUAAGCUUGGAGUUAAUGUCCAUCUCAGAGUACAUGCUUUUUCCAUCAAGACUGAAAACCUGAUCCUCACAAAACUUGCAAACCGCAUCACCGAAACAGUAUGAGUAGUCUGGAUGGUCCAUCAGUUCAUAUGCACUCACAAUUUCUUCAGUUUGCUCUACCCCAAACUUAUUUGGUUCAUUCAAGGAAAAAGUUGUCCAUUUUACCUUUACAGUUCGCUCCUUCGCAUCAACACACCUCACCACGCCCCACCUUUUUGGACUGGGAACAGAUGAGUCAUCACAGUAUCCCUUCUCAAGCACGAACUGUUCUGGCCAAAACUCAUGAGCAUCCACAACAUUGACAGGAAAUACAGAAUCUGAGUCCAAUCCAGUAGUCACGCUUCCAUCCUGCCACGAAACAUCAACUUUUGUCCUUGUCUUCAAAAUUACAGCAACUUGCGGAACAGUUGAGCUCCUAUUACUCUGAGAUGCCUUGUUUAGCUGCAUGUCCUCUUUCAUUGCUCCAUAGGGAGGUGAGCGUUGAAUACUCUGCUGCAGAAAGUUCUUAGAGUCAGCAACUGGAAGUAGACAGCAAUCUCCAAGCUGCCACUUUGCAUGGGAGAAGCAAGAUAACAAGGUUAACUUUUCUGAGUCCAGCAGAUUCGGGGGACUAAGCACCUUUUCACAACCAAGACUGCCACAGCCAAUCCAAUCUACAUACAUGACUCCAGCCUCCACAGAAUAAAUGGUACCUUGAUCUCUUUUGCCACUUUUUACACCACAUAACCAGUUGGUUGAUCCAGAGGCAGCUGCAGACUGAACUUGAACCCUUUGUCCCGGGUAGAAAGGAUAUUGUGGGUCUUCAACUAAAUCAGGGGAAAUUGGUGUGAGAAUUUCUGAACCCUCAGCUGCAAACUCAGACUUUGCACCAUCAUCAAAGAGGACUUUAACUUUAUCGACUAUCUUUUCCACUUUCCCAAGCCAUGGGCCCAUCACUACAUAAUCCCCAACAGAAAUUGGACGUAUUUUCACCAGAUCUUUUGAGUUAACAUCUUGUAUCUUGCUUCCAUAAAUAUUUUCCAAGUCAACAAUCAUCUCAACAUUGAUCACUUUCCCAAUCUGUCCGGAUGGGUCAUUUACUGCACAUACUAUGUCCCCAUACAUAAACACUCUCUCAAAGGAGAGAAAGUCAUCGAUAUUACCGAUGCUCUCCUCAAGGCUUGAAAGAAUAGAACAGGCAUGCCCACCAUACAGAUAUUCAACAUAAUCCUGAUCGUCAUAACUGCUGCUCUCGCUGAAACUAUCAAAGUCACUUAGAGAAGAUGUAUCCAUAAUGUGGAAUCCAAUGAAAUGUAUUCUGCAAUUGAGAAACAUUAAUUUAUAAGCCAAGAAAUGAGGGUUAAAAAAGCAUAGUAUUGGAAUGAAAAUUGCCAAAAUGCAGCUAUAUCUUGCCUAUAUAUGAUUCAUAGUUAUUUUCUCUUGGAUUCUUGGUGCUUAAAUUCUAGAGAUACAAAAAAAUGAGUGAAACUUUGACUUGAUGUAUUACACACGCUUAAACCUAAAUGAUGAUGCAUUAAACUUAUUCAGUUGCUCCUAUACUGCAAUGAACUAUAAUUAUUCAAAAUCAAGAGCAAUUGAUGGGAUGACUUGCAAUGGAACAAAUGGAAACGACGAUCAGCUUAACUAAGUUGAACUAAGCCCAAUCCCUAUUUGUUUAGAUGAUAUAGCUAACAAUAAGUUACAUGGACAAAUAAAUGAUGAGUGACAGGAGACAUACCACACAAGUUACUUGCAAGUCCUCGCUGUUUAAUCCAAACUUACAGACUGAUAUUGAUCCCCUGCUGACAAUGAUUAUCAGUCUUCCUAGUUCCAACAACGACCGAUGUAUAUAUCCAAAGAUGAAUCAGAUCUCGAGGUCAAUCUGUUACUUUUAAACAGAGACCAAGAUAGUAUCUCCAAAAGGAGAUAAUGCCAAAGGAGAUUUGCCCUAAAGACAAAUGUUUUGGAGUCUAACUCCAAAUGCCAAAGAAGAUUUGCCCAAAGAAUUGAACAAGUCCACUAGAAGGAUUGUGCAGAGAAGAACUUUCGAACUAAUUGUGGUCCUUGUAGAAGUGCCACUUUCUUUAGCUCUUCCUGACCGGUUGAAGAGGAAGUCCACAAGCCGGAUUUAUGGAUCAAACUUUUGCCAACAAAGGAAGACAACAGCUUGAUUAAAACCACGAUAAAGAACCACCAAACAGCGGAACUUCACGAUUUGCCAAAGGAGAUUUGCCCAGCAGAGCCAAUAGAGAGACACAUGUAACAAGAUGCUCUCACAUGAAAGGAAUUUACUCCUCUCAAAGGCCAAAGACAGUUUGCCAAAGAAGAUUUUCCCCUUAAGUGGAACCAGCUGUUCUGUCAGGUGGAGAUGUCUCAAAGAGUUGAAUCAACCAGAAAAAGACAGAUGUGUUGCAUAAAGUGUUUAAAAUGCCAAAAAGAUAUCAGUUCUUGAGUAACCAAGGGAACUGCUGAGAAAAUGUAAGUUGAUCUGAGCCACUGAACUACAUCAGGAAAUCCUUGCAAAAUAUGUGGUAUACUGACCAGGAACCAACUUUCUUCUGUGUCAAACCAGACUUAGCUAUUUCAGAAAAUACGUGACACCUGUGUGCAGAAAUAGUUGUUAAAUUUCAACACAAUGCUAUUUUUAUAUAGAGCAGUAGGAAGACUAGUUCUGCAGUUUCUUUUGACCAUAGAUGCACAGACUACAUCAAAAUAGAGACACGGCAUGAAAUUCUAAGAGGAAAAGGUCUCAAGAGGACCUAUAAGAGAAUGAAUCAGCAGUUCCUUAAAACACGAUCAAUUCCUGUAACUUCUUUAGCCAUCUGACUUUCAGUUCAUUCAAAUAAAAAUUCAAAAUAACUACUGCAUUCUUUUGUGGUCAACUACUGUUGCUCUGAUGGUAAGCAACCCCCACUUCCAACCGAGAGGUUGUGAGUUCGAGUCUCCCCANNNNNNNNNNNNNNNNNNNNNNNNNNNNNNNNNNNNNNNNNNNNNNNNNNNNNNNNNNNNNNNNNNNNNNNNNNNNNNNNNNNNNNNNNNNNNNNNNNNNNNNNNNNNNNNNNNNNNNNNNNNNNNNNNNNNNNNNNNNNNNNNNNNNNNNNNNNNNNNNNNNNNNNGUUCGAGUCUCCCCAAGAGUAAGGUGGGAAGUUCUUGGAGGGAAGGAUGCCGGGGGGCAAUUUGGAAACAGCUUCUCUACCCAAGGGUAGGGGUAAGGUUUGCGUACACACUACCCUCCCCAGACCCCAUAAGUGGGAUUAUACUGGGUUGUUGUUGUUGUUGUACUGAGGUUAAUUGGCAGCAUGGGUAUACUUAGACAAUAAACCGGUUUCCAAGUGAAAUUCAUUUUUUAAAGAUUAAUUGAGUGAUGGCAGAACUUGCACACACGUUUUUGCCAUUUAAACUGUUGUUUGAACUGGCAUCAAGAUCAAUUUAGAGCUCUAUGGUUAAUUGCUUACAAGUGCUUUUGUCCACACGAAAUAAUCAUUUUCAACUAAUUUUCAAAACCCAAAUCCAUGACCCUUCAAAAACUAGAACUGAAUUAAAAGAUCAUAUAAUAAUAACAGUUCUCCAGCUAACAUGACAAGUAAGAUAGAUGUCUUAAAAUUGGAGUAAGACUCCACGGGUUCAUCAACCAUCAAUAAAUGUAUUAUCUAUGUUUUUGUGCAGAGUCCACCUCUUUGACAUUGAGUAUCUACUCUAAGUUGAGAGGAAUGGGUUGCUUUUUCAUCUUUAACUUUGCCUUUUCAUUCGAUUCAAUUUAUUUAGCCUAAAUAAAAUUUUAACCUCAUAUUAAUUAUAUCCUUACCCUUUCUUGGUUCAUUCAUCAAAAUUGGAUAUCCUGUGCCCCCAAAUUACUGUUAAGUUUCUUUUUUGAAUGUUUAGUCCAAUGCUCAAGCCUCGAUAUCAUAAUAAGUUUCUUAUUAUCGAUGAUUUUGCUUCCUCGGGAUCAGGUGUUAAGCUUUCAAUGUAUUAAGACAUGAGAAGCGACUAAAAAGCUAUUAUCUUCUGAUUCCAGUGCUCAUCUCAGAAAUAGGUGAUCUACAUGUGAAUAAAAAACCCUUGCUCCAAGAUACUAAGUAUACAGUGCAUCUAACCUCAAGAGAGGAUAUCACUGGUUUGACAAUAGCUUAUAUUGCACAUAUCCUUGAAGACCUCAACCUGAAGGCCCACUACUAUUUUUCGUAUUUAUUCUCUCCGACUAUAUAGGCAAUAUUCUAGGCGUAAAAAUUGCGAAAUCUCGAAACAAUAUUUUCUCUUUUGAUAUCAAUUUUCCUUUUAAGAUGGUAUAUAGACACUAGGGACAAUGAAUAAAGGCAAUUGCAUCUUAGAAUUUCAUUUGGUGCUCUACCCUUAUUUUUACUGUCCUAAAAUUUAAACGAAAACAACUUGUUAGACAAACUUUUUCAUCUUUGAAUCAGAACUCCAAAAAGUAUCCUUUUUGAAUUGAAUGAAAAUUGCAAAUAUGCAGCCUAAGAGUUUCAAUAACAUUCAAACAUAAAAUUCAGCUUCACAUAAAGAAAAAAAAUAAGAAGGAGAAGUGUGAAAGUAUUUUCAUCAAGGUGAAGAAAUACAUAUGAUAGAAAAUUCAAACAACUAGAGAUUAAACUGGUGGGACUAUACUGGGUAGUUGUUGUUGUUGUUGUUGUUGUAGAGAUUAAAAACCAAAUAGCCAAAAAGAGAAAAGGACAGCAUGAGGAAAAAGGAAACAACAUUAUAAGUAGAAGUUGAGAAAGUUACCAUCUUUAACCCUCUUAUGCCGAUAUCAAACCAAAGGCAACUUCCACAGAAAGAGCGCAAGCUGAUGAAACUGAAGCAACUCCAGAAGAGAGAGUUUAAUUCUUGAAUUUCUAGCUGUUUCCUUCAGUUUCAAAGAUAAAUUCUUGAAUUUUUCUUUCCCCAACAAACAGUGAUCACCUCAACCAAAACACACACACGCCAAGAAAAAAGAUUAAGGGAAUUCAGAGAGGCAAAUCACCUCCCUAAAUUCCCAUUGUCCACUCAUAUUCAAACCUCACAAACAUGGCAGUAUGAAAUGUUGCAAAAUCACCAACCCCCUUAAUUACCACCUCUCUUAUUUCUCUUCCACUGCGUGUAUGUUUUUUGUCUGUGUG